UACGUAGGGGGCAAGCGUUGUCCGGAUUUAUUGGGCGUAAAGAGCGUGUAGGCGGCCAGGUAGGUCCGCUGUGAAAACUCGAGGCUCAACCUCGAGAUGUCGGCGGAAACCAUCUGGCUAGAGUCCGGAAGAGGAGAGUGGAAUUCCUGGUGUAGCGGUAAAAUGCGCAGAUAUCAGGAGGAAUCCCGGUGGUGUAGACGGCUCUGUGGACCGCCACUGACGCUGAGACACGAAAGCGUGGGUAGCAAACAGG
rnacentral:rRNA from 1 species